CAAAACAGGUUGUGAGGUGCUGCCUGGAGCAUGCCGCAUCGGUGGCGAAAACAUUCAUCACCUCGGACGCCGUCGUGGUCGACAUCAAGGAAUCUGAGAAGGCGCCUGCCGCAAACCCAAUGGCCGGUUCAGGUUAUGGGUUCUAAACCCUUGGGCAGCAUGCUGCGUUGUCGGAGGUUAUACUUUGAGCAAAGAAGCGUGGGUGCUAUUGUGUCGCGGGUCGAAGCCGGAAACUAAAUUUUUGUUGCUAUUGUCGCGAACCAAAAGUCGGAACGUGAGUCUUCUUUAAAAUUUUAUUACACUAGCAAUCUAGUCCUGAAAGAAAGUGUACACUAUUUUUUUUUGCGAGAAAGUGAACACUGUAUCGUGCUUACAUCAUCUUACUA